rnacentral:rRNA from 1 species
CCUACGGGAGGCAGCAGUGGGGAAUAUUGGGCAAUGGAGGCAACUCUGACCCAGCAACGCCGCGUGAAUGAUGAAGGUCUUCGGAUUGUAAAGUUCUGUGAUGGGGGAUGAACACAAUGACGGUACCCCAAUAACAAGCCACGCCUAACUCCGUGCCAGCAGCCGAGGUAAUACGUAGGUGGCAAGCGUUAUCCGGAAUGACUGGGCGUAAGGGGUGCGUAGGGGGUUUAGUAAGUUGGCGGUGUAAUUCCGGGGCUCAACCUCGGCGCUACCGCCAAAACUAUUAGACUAGAGUGCAGGAGGGGUAAGUGGAAUUCCUAGUGUAGCGGUGGAAUGCGUAGAUAUUAGGAGGAACAUCAGGGGCGAAGGCGACUUACUGGACUGUAACUGACGCUGAGGCACGAAAGCGUGGGGAGCAAACAGGAUUAGAUACCCGAGUAGUC